UGCGAAGGCAAGCGGAUCUCUUUAAAGCUGUUCUCAGUUCGGACUGCAGUCUGCAACUCGACUACACGAAGCUGGAAUCGCUGGUAGUCGCGGAUCAGCACGCCGCGGUGAAUACGUUCCCGGGCCUUGUACACACCGCCCGUCACACCAUGGAAGUCUGCAAUGCCCGAAGCCGGUGGCCUAACCACUUAUGUGGAAGGAGCCGUCUAAGGCAGGGCAGAUGACUGGGGUGAAGUCGUAACAAGGUAAC
rnacentral:rRNA from 1 species